rnacentral:rRNA from 1 species
GACGAACGCUGGCGGCGUGCUUAACACAUGCAAGUCGAGCGGUAAGGCCCUUUCGGGGGUACACGAGCGGCGAACGGGUGAGUAACACGUGGGUGACCUGCCCUCAGCUCUGGGAUAAGCCUGGGAAACCGGGUCUAAUACUGGAUAUGACUCCACGACGCAUGUUGUGGGGUGGAAAGCCUUGUGCGGCUGAGGAUGGGCCCGCGGCCUAUCAGCUUGUUGGUGGGGUGAUGGCCUACCAAGGCGACGACGGGUAGCCGGCCUGAGAGGGCGACCGGCCACACUGGGACUGAGACACGGCCCAGACUCCUACGGGAGGCAGCAGUGGGGAAUCUUGCGCAAUGGGCGAAAGCCUGACGCAGCGACGCCGCGU